CUUUUACCUUGCAACUCCUUAUUGCCAAAAGGUGACUUGAUUUAUCUAGUAACUGUGUGAAAAUAAGAAUUCCCUUUGAUAUUUAAAUACAUUUCUAGGAAUUUAAUUCUAUGUUUUGGCUUAUAAAAUGUUGCAAAUACCCCUUAUUAAUCUCCAGAAAGGUUAUUGUUAUACAGCUCUCUACUACAACUUUUUCAGUAAUUUCUGAGAGAGAAUAGGACAUUUCUGUCAGCUUUCUGAAGGGAAAUGAAGUCAAAUAUAUUGACUUUGAUUCUAGAUUACCGUUAGUUUUUAGUUUUAAAGAUUAACAGAAGGGCACAGGUAGAUAAGUGCAUCCACAUUAACCCCUUUCUGUAUCUUUUCUCCUUUUAGAAGAUCAUUUCAUGAGAUUGAGAAGAGUGGGGAAUCAGAGUGGCACAAGCUAUUCAAACUAUAGGCGUAGCACCAAUAUAUUCAGUGGCAUAAUAUCUGGAGGUCAUGCUGAAUUGUCUGUUCACUAAAAGCCAACAUGAUACUGUCCCCACUCCUUGUCAGAAGGAGCACACCGAGCUGUGUCCUAGAAUUUCUACUGCUCUCCUGAUCCAGCUCACAACCCUGAGGUCAAAAGGAGCUUGACCUUCUCA